rnacentral:lncRNA from 1 species
UAACUGGCUGCUGAGCGCUGCCCCAUCACCCUCUCUAGGACCAAACACCAUGGAGACACUUUUCCAGAGUGACUUCCACUGCCUUUUCUUCACAUCAGAAUCUCUCUGUUCUUCGAGUACACGGCCCCUCAGGAAAUUGAUUUCCCGGGAUAUAUCUGCUUGUUACCUCUUCUCAGGGAGCCUCAUUCGGAUCACCCUAUUUAAUCUUGACACCACUCACCAAUCUGCUUCCUGUCUUCAUUUUUUCCAAUUUUACAUACGCUGACCAGCUUCUACUAAGCCUUUUAGCUAGGAAGUAUUUAUUUUUUUAUUGUCUACCUUCCCUCACUGCAUUUCACUUAAAGUCAAGGAUUUUUUUUUUCAUUCUUUAUUCACUAUUGUAUGUUGACAUCCUAGGAAAUUCCCCGCCCUAUAUAGGGACUCAAUACAAUUUAAGUGGAUUAUUGAAUGAAUCAGCUGUCAUUUUAUACUAUCCAUUUGUGGAUAUGUUACAAGCCUGCUGACUGUGGGGGAACCACGCGACUAGACCAGAAGUUUCAGUUACAGCUUCCACCUUACAGGCUGGACCCACACAGCUGGCACCAACUGCCAAAUAGGAGAGACAACUUUAAAAAAUGUUCCCAGUGCGUGGUUGUAUAUCCUAGUUGUAAGUUAUUCUGGUUCUUCUAUGUGGGCCACCACCACAGCAUGACAACUGACAGACAGCUGGUGUGGUUCUGCUACUAGGAAACAAACCGGGCAGCGCAAGCAGUGAGCACCGAACUUUAACCAUUAGCCCCUCAGGACUGGCUUUGCACCUCUCUUUUAAUCUCACAGUUUUGUCAUGCUUUUGAUCAAAGUGGCUGAAGAAGAAACUGCACAGGUAUGCCCAACCUAGUUCCUGCAGAGACUGCCUGAGAAGAUCUGAGGAGGAAGGAAGGACAGAAAGCUACUGUCAACUUCAUAGCUGCUGACAGGCCCAGCAGCUCUGCACAUGGACUAGCCCACAACCAACAGAGCUGGAGGUUUACAGACACCGACGGAAAGCGAACCCACCUCCAACUCUCUGUGAAUGGUGAACGGGAAAAACCAAAACUGAGGCCAGCCAGGGGUGGGGGAG